UGGAAGACUAUAAAAGGAUGUCAUACACAGCUCUGUUCCAACAGCGUCUGUUGGUAGCCUUUGCCUCCAGCUUCGCACAGUCGGCUUCUUCGGCUGCUGGUGGUUCAUGGCCUCCUUUUCAGGGAAGAUCAACGUCCCCAUACACAUAGCCUAUUUCUCUCCACAUGAUGUGUAUUCUAUAAACUUUAUGCUCGACUUGCUCAACCCUGGCAUAACAAUGCGCGACCCUGAAUAAUAGAAGCUUGCUACCCAUUGAUGGAUCUCUGGACAUUCUUCAGGCCUGAAACAGUUACGAUGCUGCCCGUUUCCCAAGAAGCUCUGUUUUUCCCUGUGUACCUUUAACCAGUCAUUAAUCUUUUGCUCAUUUACACCGCAGUGUAUUCUUUCCCUUUCUGAAUUUGCUUAAUGUAUGGGUUCUUUCAUGCCACUGUCCCCCACCCCACCCAAUAAAUCUAAC